rnacentral:tRNA from 3 species
UAGCUCAGUUGGGAGAGCACCUCCCUUACAAGGAGGGGGUCACUGGUUCGAGACC